rnacentral:rRNA from 1 species
CCUACGUGAGGCAGCAGUAGGGAAUCUUCCACAAUGGGCGAAAGCCUGAUGGAGCAACGCCGCGUGGGUGAAGAAGGUCUUCGGAUCGUAAAACCCUGUUGUUAGAGAAGAAAGUGCGUGAGAGUAACUGUUCACGUUUCGACGGUAUCUAACCAGAAAGCCACGGCUAACUACGUGCCAGCAGCCGCGGUAAUACGUAGGUGGCAAGCGUUAUCCGGAUUUAUUGGGCGUAAAGGGAACGCAGGCGGUCUUUUAAGUCUGAUGUGAAAGCCUUCGGCUUAACCGGAGUAGUGCAUUGGAUACUGGGGGACUUGAGUGCAGAAGAGGAGAGUGGAACUCCAUGUGUAGCGGUGAAAUGCGUAGAUAUAUGGAAGAACACCAGUGGCGAAAGCGGCUCUCUGGUCUGUAACUGACGCUGAGGUUCGAAAGCGUGGGUAGCAAACAGGAUUAGAUACCCGAGUAGUC